rnacentral:rRNA from 1 species
CGCCUCCGUUAUCUUUUAGGAGGCGCUCAAAGGUUUGCUCAGAAUGGUUGGAAAUCAUUCGUAGCGUGU